AAAUAGAAGAAAUAUAUGAACGCAUAUGAAUAAUGUGGGGGGAAACUGUAAAACCGCGCUUUGUAAAACUUAAAAACACAUGUCGCACGAUGUCUGCAGUCACAUACACUUCCCGUGAAGGAGCUGAGGCUGAGUUAAGCUGCUGUCAACAAAUGCUUUCUGCGGUUUUAUUUAUAACAUGCCUCGCUGAAAAAACAUUGUAUUCUUGCACUCUUAUGCAAUGCCAAGCGGCAACUGGAGCCUGCAACAAACCAACUGCUUUGGUGCGGCUCAUACCGAAGCUAUUUGGACUCGUUCUCCAAACCACAAGCUGGGACCCUGCAUAUAUUAAGAAGCUGCAUCAAAGCUCUUCUGCUUUCCAACAACACGAGGCCACCGACCGACCAGGUUUUACUUCAAGCCUUCGUCCAAAAAGCUUUGAUAUUGUCCCUCAGAUGCCCGUCCAGUUGUUUGUGGGUUCGAGGGACGCUGCCGGAGAAAGCCACAGUUCCUGUUCUCACCAUUCUGGCCGCUUCUCGUGAAUAAACUGUGAUCCAACGAGGAAGUAUAAACAGGUUGAUCGGUCAGAGAGCGGACACGAGAAUAUCUAUUGUUGUGGAUGGAAUGUGAAGAAUGCCGUAAUAAAAAUGAAGCAGGACUUGCUGCAGUGACGUCAGCCUUAUGGGUUUAUCUCAUUCUUUUUAUGAGUCAUCUGAAAACAAAGACGGAAAGCUACCGUGGAUGUGAACGCAUCUGUAAUACAAGUUGAAAUUAAUGACAUCAAGUCCUGGAUAAAUAUGCAGCCUCUUUGUUAGGACAAGUCAACUUUAUUUAUGCUAGUACGGCUCUUAAUCACAGAUUUGCCUUGAGGGGAUUUAGAGCCUGUACGACAUGCAGCAUUAGGCUGUUUUAGUGAGGCCUGAAUCUUCGUGGGUGUUCGGAUUGCAGGAACCGUCCCAGUAGAACCUCUUUUCAAAAUGUUUUUCAUGGGAGAGAAAAGUAUCGACUCCAGGGUUGAUGCUCCUGAAGAACUGAUUGGUAAAACUCAAGGACUAAAAGCCUUUGCUGAAUAUUAAUUUUCUGCUCUCUAACUGCCAUCAACAUUGUGAAAUUCACCAUACAGGCCAACAUAGCAAACCUCCAUUGUUCUUUUUCAACAUAAAGCCGGAGUUAAGUCCAUUAACUACUAUUUGUUGCUGUUUUGCUACACUUAAAGUUAAUGUUGUGGUUGAAACUAUUCUAAAAGUCUACAAGGUUGUACAAUGCAAUGGAGGCUAAAAGAGUUAAUUAGUAAGAUUUCACACCACAUUGCACCUUUCUCGAAUUCCUGUAGUGGAAAACCGCCUACUGUCAAUCCUAAUAGCCUUGAUUAUGCCCAGUAGUAGAUGUGAGCAUCGAUUUAUAGUUAAAAAAUGGGUUGUUGAACGUCUUUCCAACCAGCUAAAUACAAUGUCAAAGUGCCAUAAAGCACAAAUCUGAUUAGGCUUUUUAGGAUUUUAGUAUAGUUGUAGUCUGAGGAUUUUUCUGCAAACUCAUAUUGAAAUCUGCUCUACAAAAGCUGACUUACACCAAAUUGUGCAACAGCUACAUUGGUCCACUGUGUGAAAACAUGCAAGUUUAACUGUAAAGCCUGUAAAACUGAGGGAUGUCUAUGUGUUUUUAGUCUAUUCUUUUCUGCUUUGGUAGAUUUUGUUGUCCUGUAGUCUCAACAGUGUUGGUUUGACCUCCUACAUGCACCAAAGCUGGGAUCUUUCUGCAUGGAGUUUGUAUCUUCUCCCUGUGCAUGCAUGAGUUACUGUUUUCUGUUGGUUUCUGUCAUUGUUUGCUUUUAUUUACCCUAUAACACUACUUAGUCAAGCUGAGCCACCAAAACUACUGCCAAUACACCUCUGCUAAAUAUAAAGUCCCAUCGCAACAAUAACCCUCUAAAACAUCUCACAAUUUUACAGGAUUUUUCUGACAAUAAUACCCACCAAUGGAGCUGUAAUAAUUUUUUUAGACUGGGCUUCGGCUACAUGGAGAUGUAAUUUCAGUGCAUUUAAUGUUUCACACAAAAUCUCAUGAAAGUGGAAUUAUAUAGGCUGUUUGCUGCCAACAAGAAGCUUAUAAAACUAAAAGCAGUUUUAUACAUAAAUGUAAAAUCAGAAAUUGUUCUUGCUGUUAUAAUGUGCAAAUACUUAACGGUUAUAGAUUACUCCGAAGGUUGAGUGUUCUCUCAGCCCUGCCAGUAUAAGAAGCAUGAUUCUGUAGCAUGUUUUUAUAUGUAACAGCAGGUUAGCCCAGUAGAAUGGGAUGCAGGUUAAUAAUGAAGCUGUGUGAUCCCUGAUUGGACCAUCAAUGUUCUUACUGCUCCUCCUUACUAGACCGCUUUCUUGUUGUUAGUAUGUUCCAAAAUUGUUUAUUUGCGCAUUACAGGAUGGAAAUUUUCACUAUACCAUCUAAAUGUAAACAUUAAAUCAAUGUCUUUAAA